GAUGAACGCUGGCGGCGUGCCUAAUACAUGCAAGUCGAGCGAACGGACGAGAAGCUUGCUUCUCUGAUGUUAGCGGCGGACGGGUGAGUAACACGUGUAUAACCUACCUAUAAGACUGGGAUAACUUCGGGAAACCGGAGCUAAUACCGGAUAAUAUUUUGAACCGCAUGGUUCAAAAGUGAAAGACGGUCUUGCUGUCACGUAUAGAUGGAUCUGCGCUGCAUUAGCUGGUUGGUAAGGUAACGGCUUAUCAAGGCAACGAUGCAUAGCCUACCUGAGAGGGGGAUCGGCCACCAUGGAACUGAGACACGCUCCAGACUACUACGGGAGGCAGCAGUAGGGAAUCUUCCGCAAUGGGCGAAAGCCUGACGGAGCAACGCCGCGUGAGUGAUGAAGGUCUUCGGAUCGUAAAACUCUGUUAUUAGGGAAGAACAUAUGUGUAAGUAACUGUGCACAUCUUGACGGUACCUAAUCAGAAAGCCACGGCUAACUACGUG
rnacentral:rRNA from 1 species